rnacentral:misc_RNA from 1 species
UGACUGACUGGGAUGAGAAAUGGAUAGAUGUGUACUUGGACAUCAGUGUGAAGUUACUUGAUAUUUGCAUUGCUUUUAGCUCCGAGCUUUCCCGGCUUAGCCAAGGCCAUCUCUUACUUCAAUGUGUGCUUCAUAAUCUGGAGUCCAACACUCCAAAGCAAUUUGUACGGGCUUGUUCUUCCCUUGAUAGCUGGAGACAACACAUUACUUCAAAGAAUUUACGAGUCCAGAACUGUCACUCCAUCUUGGAUAAUCUUGUGGAAUCAC